rnacentral:rRNA from 1 species
UUGGAGGGCAAGUCUGGUGCCAGCAGCCGCGGUAAUUCCAGCUCCAAUAGCGUAUAUUAAAGUUGUUGCAGUUAAAAAGCUCGUAGUUGAAUUUCGGGAUCGAUGGGUCGGUCAUGCCCUCGGUAUGUACUGAUCCCAUUGGUCCUCACCUUCUAAGGAACCAUGAUGUCAUUCGGUUGAUGUUGUGGGGAAUUAGGACUGUUACCUUGAAAAAAUUAGAGUGUUUAAAGCAGGCCAACGCUUGAAUACAUUAGCAUGGAAUAAUGAAAUAGGACAUCCGAUUCUAUUUUGUUGGUUUCUAGGAUCGAUGUAAUGAUUAAUAGGGAUAGUUGGGGGCAUUAGUAUUCAAUUGUCAGAGGUGAAAUUCUUGGAUUUAUUGAAGACUAACUACUGCGAAAGCAUUUGCCAAGGAUGUUUUCAUUAAUCAAGAACGAAAAGUUAGGGGAUCGAAGACGAUCAGAUACCGUCGUAGUCUUAACCAUAAACUAUGCCGACUAGGGAUCGGAUGAUGCUUAUUUUAAUG